rnacentral:rRNA from 1 species
CUAACACAUGCAAGUCGAGCGCGAAAGCACUUCGGUGUGAGUAGAGCGGCGGACGGGUGAGUAACGCGUAGGAAUCUACCUAGUAGUGGGGGACAACUCGGGGAAACUCGAGCUAAUACCGCAUAAGCCCUACGGGGGAAAGCGGGGGACCUUCGGGCCUCGUGCUAUUAGAUGAGCCUGCGUUGGAUUAGCUAGUUGGUGGGGUAAAGGCCUACCAAGGCGACGAUCCAUAGCUGGUCUGAGAGGAUGAUCAGCCACACCGGGACUGAGACACGGCCCGGACUCCUACGGGAGGCAGCAGUGGGGAAUAUUGCGCAAUGGGCGAAAGCCUGACGCAGCCAUGCCGCGUGUGUGAAGAAGGCCUUCGGGUUGUAAAGCACUUUCAAUUGGGAGGAAAGGUUCACGGUUAAUAACCGUGAGCUGUGACGUUACCUUUAGAAGAAGCACCGGCUAACUCCGUGCCAGCAGCCGCGGUAAUACGGAGGGUGCGAGCGUUAAUCGGAAUUACUGGGCGUAAAGCGCGCGUAGGUGGUCUGUUAAGUCGGAUGUGAAAGCCCCGGGCUCAACCUGGGAACUGCAUUCGAUACUGGCAGACUAGAGUGCGAGAGAGGGAGGUAGAAUUCCAUGUGUAGCGGUGAAAUGCGUAGAUAUGUGGA